GAGGGGAAAGAAGAGCAAAAGCAAAAGCAAAACCCAAACCGAAACCGGAGCUCCGAAGAGCCAAAAACCAAAACCACCAAAUCGCGAAAUCGACAAAAAAUGGCAGAAUCCUCCAGCAGCGGGCUGACGUUCAAGCUCCAUCCACUGGUGAUCGUCAACAUCUCCGAUCACUACUCUAGGGUUAAGUCCCAGAUGCACCCGCCGAUCACCAACACUCCAACACCACCACCCAACAACAGCGCUGAAGGAGCAGUAGAAGCAGCAGCAGCCUCCUCUUCUUCCUCCUCCUCCACCGCCUCCGCCUCGUCUCCGCGGGUCUUCGGCUGCGUUAUCGGGGUUCAGAGAGGCCGCACGGUCGAGAUCUUCAACAGCUUCGAGCUCCUCUACGAUCCCGAGACUCACUCCCUCGACCGCGCCUUCCUCGAGAAGAAGCAAGAGCUCUAUAAGAAGGUGUUUCCACACUUUUACAUACUGGGGUGGUACUCCACUGGAACAGAUGCUCAGGAAUCUGACAUGAACAUCCACAAAGCUUUGAUGGAUAUCAAUGAAAGCCCUGUUUAUGUUCUUCUCAACCCUUUGAUCAAUGCUGCUCAAAAGGAUCUCCCAAUCACUAUUUACGAAAGUGAGAUGCAUGUCAUUGAUGGGAUUCCACAGCUAAUCUUCGUCAGUUCAAGCUAUACUAUUGAGACUGUGGAAGCUGAGCGCAUUUCAGUUGACCAUGUUGCCCAUCUUAAACCAUCUGAUGGAGGUUCAGCAAACUCAAUGUGAGUCCUCAUGGCUGCUCAUCUUACUGGAAUUCACAGUGCCAUCAAGAUGCUAAAUAGCAGAAUUAGAGUGCUUCAUCACUAUCUUCUUGCUAUGCAGAAAGGUGAUAUACCUUGUGAAAAUUCACUGCUAAGACAAGUAUCAAGUCUUCUGAGAAGGUUGCCUGCCAUAGAAUCGGGGAAAUUUCAAGAUGAUUUCUUGAUGGAAUACAAUGACACUUUGUUGAUUACAUAUUUGGCUGUGCUGACCAACUGCUCAAGUACAACGAAUGAGCUGGUCGACAAGUUCAACACCGCAUAUGAUAGGCACAGUCGAAGAGGUGGACGGACUGCUUAUUUCUGAAAGCUGCUUUGCCAUAAUAUGUAGUAGUGUUUAGUUUCUUUGAGAACCUUUUGGGUGCUGCUGGAUUUGUUUGACUGCAUAAUGCAUAGCACAUAGAAGUGUAGAAAUUGAAAUAUUACUCGGACCUUGAUCAUUCGAAAAGAAAAUCACACCUUACAUUAUUUCACCGUAUAAAUGCUAUAAUUUGAACGGUUUUCUUUUUA